rnacentral:rRNA from 1 species
CAGUAGCCACGGUAAUACGGAGGGUGCAAGCGUUAAUCGGAAUUACUGGGCGUAAAGCGCACGUAGGCUGCUUUGUAAGUCAGAGGUGAAAGCCCGGGGCUCAACCCCGGAUGUGCCUUUGAGACUGCAGGGCUAGAACGUCGGAGAGGUGAGUGGAAUUCCGAGUGUAGAGGUGAAAUUCGUAGAUAUUCGGAAGAACACCAGUGGCGAAGGCGGCUCACUGGACGACUGUUGACGCUGAGGUGCGAAAGCGUGGGGAGCAAACAGGAUUAGAUACCCCAGUAGUCCCUGUCUCUUAUAA